GAUGAACGCUAGCUACAGGCUUAACACAUGCAAGUCGAGGGGCAGCAUGACUAAAGUUUACUUUAGUUGAUGGCGACCGGCGCACGGGUGAGUAACACGUAUCCAACCUACCUAUUACACGGGGAUAGCUCUUCGAAAGAAGGAUUAAUACCAGAUAAUAUAAUUUUCUCUCAUGAGUUUAUUAUUAAAGAUUUAUCGGUAAUAGAUGGGGAUGCGCUUCAUUAGACAGUUGGUGAGGUAACGGCUCACCAAAUCUACGAUGGAUAGGGGUUCUGAGAGGAAGGUCCCCCACAUUGGAACUGAGACACGGUCCAAACUCCUACGGGAGGCAGCAGUGAGGAAUAUUGGUCAAUGGACGAGAGUCUGAACCAGCCAAGUAGCGUGAAGGAUGACUGCCCUAUGGGUUGUAAACUUCUUUUAUAAGAGAAUAAAGUGUCCCACGUGUGGGAUUUUGUAUGUAUCUUAUGAAUAAGGAUCGGCUAACUCCGUGCCAGCCGCCGCCGUAAGAC
rnacentral:rRNA from 1 species